AGCAGUAGCCACGGUAAUACGAAGGGUGCAAGCGUUACUCGGAAUUACUGGGCGUAAAGCGUGCGUAGGUGGUGGUUUAAGUCCGUUGUGAAAGCCCUGGGCUCAACCUGGGAAUUGCAGUGGAUACUGGGUCACUAGAGUGUGUCAGAGGAUGGUGGAAUUCCCGGUGUAGCGGUGAAAUGCGUAGAGAUCGGGAGGAACAUCAGUGGCGAAAGCGGCCAUCUGGGACAACACUGACGCUGAGGCACGAAAGCGUGGGGAGCAAACAGGAUUAGAUACCCCCGUAGUCCCUGUCUCUUAUAC
rnacentral:rRNA from 1 species